rnacentral:rRNA from 1 species
GACAGAGGGUGCAAGCGUUGUUCGGAAUUACUGGGCGUAAAGCGCGUGUAGGCUGCUUCGAAAGUCGGGUGUGAAAGCCCCGGGCUCAACCUGGGAAGUGCACUCGAAACUUCGGAGCUGGAGUUCUGGAGAGGAGACUGGAAUUUACGGUGUAGCAGUGAAAUGCGUAGAGAUCGUAAGGAAGACCAGUGGCGAAGGCGGGUCUCUGGACAGUUCCUGACACUGAGGCACGAAGGCCAGGGGAGCAAACGGG